CACGAACGCUGGCGGCGUGCUUAACACAUGCAAGUCGAGCGGUAAGGCCUCUUCGGGGGUACACGAGCGGCGAACGGGUGAGUAACACGUGGGUGACCUGCCCUCAGCUCUGGGAUAAGCCUGGGAAACUGGGUCUAAUACCGGAUAUGACUGCGCAUCGCAUGGUGUGUGGUGGAAAGUUCCUGGCCUUUGGGUUGGGUUCGGUUGGGGAUGGGCCCGCGGCCUAUCAGCUGUUGGUGGGGUGAUGGCCUACCAAGGCGACGACGGGUAGCCGGCCUGAGAGGGCGUCCGGCCACACUGGGACUGAGACACGGCCCAGACUCCUACGGGAGGCAGCAGUGGGGAAUAUUGCGCAAUGGGCGGAAGCCUGACGCAGCGACGCCGCGUGGGGGAUGACGGCCUCGGUU
rnacentral:rRNA from 1 species